rnacentral:rRNA from 1 species
CCUACGGGUGGCUGCAGUGGGGAAUAUUGGACAAUGGGGGCAACCCUGAUCCAGCCAUGCCGCGUGUGUGAAGAAGGCCCUCGGGUUGUAAAGCACUUUCAGUGAGGAAGAACGCCUGGUGGUUAAUACCCAUCAGGAAAGACAUCACUCACAGAAGAAGCACCGGCUAACUCCGUGCCAGCAGCCGCGGUAAUACGGAGGGUGCGAGCGUUAAUCGGAAUUACUGGGCGUAAAGCGCGCGUAGGUGGCUUGAUAAGCCGGUUGUGAAAGCCCCGGGCUCAACCUGGGAACGGCAUCCGGAACUGUCAAGCUAGAGUGCAGGAGAGGAAGGUAGAAUUCCAGGUGUAGCGGUGAAAUGCGUAGAGAUCGGGAGGAAUACCAGUGGCGAAGGCGGCCUUCUGGACUGACACUGACACUGAGGUGCGAAAGCGUGGGUAGCAAACAGGAUUAGAUACCCGAGUAGUC